GUACGAGAGAGAGAUAGAAGGAGAAAAAUGUUCACCUUCAACAACAACAAAAAUUCAGCAAUCAAAGAUGUUAUAGGGCUGAAAUCGAAUGCAUGAAUUAGGGUUCUUGUUCAUCUAAGUGUUCUAAACAUAAGGAACAAGAAAGGAAGAAAGUUCAAGUCGAUCACAAGCAAAGGAAAAGCAAGGCCAAGGUAAAUCGCAUGCUUGAACUCGACGACUUGGAACGAACACUCUACAAGGCCUAUACACGCUUCCGAAUGCAAGAUUUGUCAAACGGGUCGAAACUUAAUGUUAACUUUUGAAACUUUGUAAAUUUAGCUUUUAUGGUAUUUUGUUAGUAUGGCAAAUUGAUGUAAGUUAGUUGUGAAGUUUAUGACUAUCGAACCGUU